rnacentral:rRNA from 1 species
UCAAACUGGAGAUGGCGACCGGCGCACGGGUGAGUAACACGUAUCCAACCUGCCGAUAACUCGGGGAUAGCCUUUCGAAAGAAAGAUUAAUACCCGAUGGCAUAAUAGAACCGCAUGGUUUGAUUAUUAAAGAAUUUCGGUUAUCGAUGGGGAUGCGCUCCAUUAGGCAGUUGGUGGGGUAACGGCCCACCAAACCUUCGAUGGAUAGGGGUUCUGAGAGGAAGGUCCCCCACAUUGGAACUGAGACACGGUCCAAACUCCUACGGGAGGCAGCAUG